rnacentral:rRNA from 1 species
GGGGAAUUUUGGACAAUGGGGGAAACCCUGAUCCAGACAUCCCGCGUGUGCGAUGAAGGCCUUCGGGUUGUAAAGCACUUUUGGCAGGAAAGAAACGUCGCGGGUUAAUACCCCGCGGAACUGACGGUACCUGCAGAAUAAGCACCGGCUCACUUCGUGCCAGCAGCCGCGGUAAUACGAAGGGUGCAAGCGUUAAUCGGAAUUACUGGGCGUAAAGCGCGCGUAGGUGGUUCGUUAAGUUGGAUGUGAAAGCCCCGGGCUCAACCUGGGAACUGCAUCCAAAACUGGCGAGCUAGAGUAUGGCAGAGGGUGGUGGAAUUUCCUGUGUAGCGGUGAAAUGCGUAGAUAUAGGAAGGAACACCAGUGGCGAAGGCGACCACCUGGGCUAAUACUGACACUGAGGUGCGAAAGCGUGGGGAGCAAACA